AUCCACUAGGCUGAGCAGAUCUUGGGCAGAGGCAGUGUAAGCCAGUAUCCGACCUGCCAAGAACCCCAGGCACCAGAGAGAUGUCCUAGACUCUGGCUGACAGUGCUGUUCUGUUUGGGAACAAAGACCACAUGACUUUGAAGGACAGAUUUGUCACAAUGACAAGAAGAUGACAUUUCUGUUUGGCCUUCAGUCAGCUUGCCAGGUAAGUCCUGCCUGGUUCUGGAACUCCCCACAUGCCUUGCCCUGCAUGGUUUGUCUUUGAGGAUGAACUCUGUUCCUGUGCACAGCCAGGGAGGGAAAGGGCAAGACCAGCCUUAGGCAGUCUGAGUUUGGUUGUGAGCCCUGCCAUGAACUUUCCAUGUGACUCUAGACAGUUUCUCCUGACCUUGGGGCUUGAUUUGCUCAUCUGUACAUGGGGUUAGGAAUUGGAAUAGAUUGUGUCUUGGGGCCUUCUGACUUUGGGCUGAAUCCUCACACCCAAGGCUCCAGGGGGUGGCCCAAUACCUGUCAUGCCCACAGCACUGUGCAAGCUUAUGAAUGAGUUUGCUUUGUCUCUCACUUAUCUAGGGACUUGGCCACCUCUCACAGGUGUCCACUCAGGGCUGGGGCCAUGCUGGCACCCAGGCAGGAAGGCCCAGGACUGCCUCCUGGGUGCUCACAGCCUGAUGGGAGCAGGGACAGCAGUGACAGAUGCAGCCCUAGCUGGGGGGUGUUCGUCUGCUGGUUCUGUGCCCCAUGGCUCGGCUGGUGAAACUAUCCUGGGGAGGGGCUGCAUUGCUCACCCUGUUCUCUCCAGUGUACCCAUGGAGAACCUCUGGAUCUUGUAGGCUCACCUCUUGAUACAUAUUGUGAGCAGGCUGGGCAUGUCCAGGAAGCUGAAGGGACCCCACUCCUGCAGUAGCUCAUUGCAUCAGCCUAGGAACAGAGGCCCAGGCAUGACUGCCAGCCUGCAGGCCUGCUCUGUCAGCUGUUGGGAGGCCCAGGCAUGUCAUGGUGUCUUGCACAAGGGUUGUAGGCUGGGUUACAACUAGUGUAGGAGUAGGCAGAGGAGGAGGCACCAGGCUCAGCCAGCCAGCAUCACUAGAGUGCCCAACCGGGACCCCAGGGGUUGGUCUUCACUUCACCCAUGACGUCUUGAAUUCUUGGGUAACUCUUCUGGACUGUUUCCUCAUCUGAAACCUUGAGUCACCUCCUGUAGGCUUGGUUUCAUCUGAAACUGGGUGCUUAUCUUUCUUCCAUCUCCCCUUGAAGGGCUGUUGGAGGACAUCGUGAAAUCAAGGACACUGAAAGGAUUCACAAAACCAAGAGGGCUGACUGCACAGACUUGGGAGAGGAGCCCAGCCUGCAGCCCGCCCCCCACCCCUGCCAAGGCCCUGGAGGCUACAGAGGGUUUCCUGAAAUGCCCAGUAAGUGG
ensembl:lncRNA